rnacentral:rRNA from 1 species
AGUGAACGCUGGCGGUAGGCCUAACACAUGCAAGUCGAACGGCAGCACAGUAAGAGCUUGCUCUUACGGGUGGCGAGUGGCGGACGGGUGAGGAAUACAUCGGAAUCUACUUUUUCGUGGGGGAUAACGUAGGGAAACUUACGCUAAUACCGCAUACGACCUACGGGUGAAAGCAGGGGAUCUUCGGACCUUGCGCGAUUGAAUGAGCCGAUGUCGGAUUAGCUAGUUGUCGGGGUAAAGGCCCACCAAGGCGACGAUCCGUAGCUGGUCUGAGAGGAUGAUCAGCGACACUGGAACUGAGACACGGUCCAGACUACUACGGGAGGCAGCAGUGGGGAAUAUUGGACAAUGGGCGCAAGCCUGAUCCAGCCAUACCGCGUGGGUGAAGAAGGCCUUCGGGUUGUAAAGCCCUUUUGUUGGGAAAGAAAAGCAGCAGGUUAAUACCCCGCUGUUCUGACGGUACCCAAAGAAUAAGCACCGGCUAACUUCGUG